CUGCUCUCUAUCAUUUGGCUUCCGACUUGAAAGAAAUUCUUGUAAUGAAUUAGAAACAUGAAUUACGGUGUUCGAAUCAAUCCACCAUGUAUUAAAAGGAACAUUAAUGAAAUUGAUUUCAAAACAAACAAGUGAUAAGAGAAUACCCUUAUUUUUGAAUCACUUUCUUCUUUUCUCAAAAUCCUUCUUGAUUGUCCCU
rnacentral:lncRNA from 1 species